rnacentral:rRNA from 1 species
AAUAGAUACCCUGGUAGUCCAUGCCGUAAACGUUGGGCACUAGGUGUGGGGACAUUCCACGUUUCCGCGCCGUAGCUAACGCAUUAAGUGCCCCGCCUGGGGAGUACGGCCGCAAGGCUAAAACUCAAAGGAAUUGACGGGGGCCCGCACAAGCGGCGGAGCAUGCGGAUUAAUUCGAUGCAACGCGAAGGACCUUACCAAGGCUUGACAUGAACCGGAAAGAUCUGGAAACAGGUCCCCCACUUGUGGUCGGUUUACAGGUGGUGCAUGGUUGUCGUCAGCUCGUGUCGUGAGAUGUUGGGUUAAGUCCCGCAACGAGCGCAACCCUCGUUCUAUGUUGCCAGCACGUGAUGGUGGGGACUCAUAGGAGACUGCCGGGGUCAACUCGGAGGAAGGUGGGGACGACGUCAAAUCAUCAUGCCCCUUAUGUCUUGGGCUUCACGCAUGCUACAAUGGCCGGUACAAAGGGUUGCGAUACUGUGAGGUGGAGCUAAUCCCAAAAAGCCGGUCUCAGUUCGGAUUGGGGUCUGCAACUCGACCCC